UAAUAACAUGGUUCUACUUUUAUCAACAUUCAGGUAUUCAAGAUGAUUCAGUAGUCUCAACGUGGAUCAGCUCAGAUCCUGACAGUUAAGCGUGGUAGCGGGGGACACUGUCUUCGUACCUGGAGCGCCGGAAGAACCCGCACUGCGCACAGAAGGAGAACAACAGUUCAGCUCCAAGUUGCUGCCAAAAUACUGCAACUGCAGAGGCAGUAAAUUCUUCCAUCACACAAAUAUGCAGGGAGAAGACAUUUCACAUGAACAAAUGAAUGAGGUGAUCCUGUUCUCAUUAAAGCAUCAAAAGGUUGUUUAAAAUAGCUGUCAGAGACAAAAGAGGGAAAAAGAUACAAUGAAGCAGGACCUGUGAAACAGGAUCUCUGUGUUCAGUUCAGCUAAAGGAUACUGAAGUGCCAGGACGAUUUGCUCUUCUUCCAAUAGCAGUGAGUACCAGAAAUUACUGAUCUGCUGAGAGCUUAUGCUUAUUACAUAAUGUUUAUUACCCUCAUGUUUAUUUACAGUAUUUAUGGACUAUGAACACUUAAAACAGAAGAAGCAUUCUGUAAAGUAUUCAAGCAGUAUUCUAGGGAGUAUAAUGAAGUUCCAUUCCCACCCUGCAAACUGGACACAGUGACCCUCAAAAUCAAACAAAAAAACCCAAAGAAACCCAACAACAACCAACCAAACAUUUUAAAGAAGGAAGUGAAAUAGUAGUA